CACACAGGGGAGGAACUGCUAAAGGUCAUUCAUCAAGAAAUCAAAUUAUGGCUUACUCCACGAAAACUGGCAAGGGGAACCAUGGUGACCAACAAUAGGAAGAACAUCUUGUCUGCGCUGCGACAAGGAAGCCUGAGAUAUGCGCCCUGCAUGGCACAUGUGUUCAAUCUGGUUGUCAAGCGGUUCCUGAAGUGUUCCCCCCAUCUGCAAGACAUCCUAACAAUGGUUACAGACCACCUCUGUGCUCUAGAAGCAGUGGUCAGUAGGACUGGUGACAUCAUUACCUCUCUUUUCAACUAGCAGAAAAGUGAUAGCAGGCUGGAAGAUUGCAAAAGCCCUGGCUGCACCAUAGGGCCAAAUCAGGAAGCUGCACCGAGCCUGCCACAGGACAAACAAGCUCCAGUUCGUCUCCAUCCUGGGAAAGGCACUUGGUGCAGGCAGGACCUGUCGGCUCACCCAUAUUCUGGUCAUAACAGUGUCCAGUCACAUCUGGCAGGUCCUUCUCAGAUUGCUUAGAAGGAGAAACAUCACAAUGGAGUGCUUCAGAAUUGUUAUUUUAU